rnacentral:rRNA from 1 species
UACGUAGGGUGCGAGCGUUAAUCGGAAUUACUGGGCGUAAAGCGUGCGCAGGCGGUUCGUUAUGUCCGAUGUGAAAGCCCCGAGCUCGACUUGGGAAUGGCAUUGGAAACUGGCGGGCUGGAGUGUGGCAGAGGGGGGUGGAAUUCCACGUGUAGCAGUGAAAUGCGUAGAGAUGUGGAGGAACACCGAUGGCGAAGGCAGCCCCCUGGGUCAAAACUGACGCUCAUGCACGAAAGCGUGGGGAGCAAACAGG